CGCAAUAAACGAGUCCGCGCAUCUUGGCGUCACCAAGUUGUGAAGGGGGUCAGAACCCCCUUGGACAAACAUUCUUUCCCACAGCACGACUCGGUAAGGUGCCAUGGGUUCCGAGUCUGAUGGUGAUGUCUUUACUAAGACAGCUGUGUCAAAUGCUUGAUCGGAAUGAAGCCAAUCUGCCUGCCCCUGAAAGAUUGCCAAACGGGACUGAAGAUAGAUCUCCAGUCCCCUAUUUCCUCACUGGAGAUGACGCCUUCGCUUUGGAGAAUUCAUUGACAGCACAUGACCGCAUCUUUAAUUACCAACUGAGUAGGGCAAGACGUACAGUGGAGAAUGCCUUUGGUACACUAGCAAAUAGACUCAGUGUUUCACACUCCAUACAUCUUCGGCAUGGCAGUGUCGAGUUCGUGGUGUUGGCCGCUUGUGUGUUGCACAACUUAUUUUUGAAAAGACAGCCUAAUGCCGCGAAUGAGGCAGAUCAAGAAGACUCUGUGACACAUGAGGCCAUAUAUACCUGUUCACUGGAGGUCUGACGAAACUUUAUUACCGAACCUGACUCCCAGAAGCCGUCCGAGAGGAACCAUGGCUUGCAGGGCUCAACGGGAUCACCUUCGUGAUUAUUUCAACUCCCCUGCAGGCUCCGUUGAUUGGCAAAAUUCAAUUAUAUAAAACAAGAAAGUAAUAAAACAUUCCUGUAGGUACAUACUUUAUAAAAUCAAAUUGAAAUAACUUGGUAAAUAUCA